GUUGGGGACGCGUGGAAAAAGACCCAGAGGUGGCGGCCGGGAGGGAGGGGACGGCAGGAAGCCUGCAGCCGUGCCCCGCGCCUGCACCAGCACCGCACAGGCACGGUGAGCCUCGAGCGCUGCACGCAGACGCAGAAAGGAAGAAUAACGGCCUGGUGGUGCAGGCCUGACGGCCCAGCCCUCGGGAGGCUGAGGCAGGAGGGUCACAGAGGUUGAGGCCAGCCUGGGCCGCAACCGCAGAGCCUGCGUCUCCCAGCUCUCCCGUCCUGCCCGCAGAGAGGCUGCUCCCUCCCAACAUCAGCACCGAGUGCAACGGCACCCACGCGCACAUGUCGUGGCCCCCGCCGCGGAGCCAUUUCCAGAGAAACUUUAAGUACGAGCUCCAGACCCGCCAGGUCCCAGGAGGCUCUCUGGUCCCCAUACACGUGAGUGUCCCCCGGGCCCGUCCCCCUGGCUGGUCUGGGGGCCCCUGACCUGCAGGUCCAGCUCUCAGGCCCUCAAUCUCCCCGAGUCGCUCCUGUCCCCGCAUCGGGGCACCAGACAUGGGGACGCCGAGGUGUCACCCGGCGGGAGGAGCCGGAGUUGGGGUCCCCUGGCCCUGCCGCCUCUCAGCCCACGCCCUCAGCCGCUCAGGCCGGGGCUGGGGGAGCAAAGGGGGACAGAGGUGAGGCCGGAGAAGCGAGGUGGAGCUGUGGACACACCCGGGCCACCAACCUCUUCCCAGCCGCCAGGACCCGCCUCAGCCCCGCGCCCACAGGGGACCCGCGUCUCUGCUCGUGGCCCGUGCGUCCCUAGACAGACACGGCUGGCGUUGGUGUCCCCACCAGCGGUGGAGAAGGGACACUCAGGGGUGGCCACAGGAAGACGCGGCGCCCGCCCACCGCGCCCACCCCCACCAGGGCCCACGCGGGAUCUCGGGACCUGCCCGCCCCAGCGGCUCUAUUCUCCAAACCGCAGAGCAUCAGUACGAACGAGUUCCACCUCCCCAACCCCGGGAAGUACACGGUGCGGAUAAGAGCCUGUUACCGGUCCAACCGGUGGACGGCGUGGGGCCCGCUCCGAACCUUUGGUGAGCGGGCGUUUCGUGGGGUCCAGGGUCCUGGGAGAAUGUGGCAAAGGGACCACAGGCCGCACCUCGGGACGGGGGCAUUCGACCCCUCCACGGGCCUGGAGCCCAGGACACUGAGGCCAAGGCUCCGUCCAUGGGCUCCCGGGAAACCCUCCCACCUCUGCCUCUGCCCCUGCCCCUGCCCCACGCGGCUGUCCCUGUGUCUGUGUCCCCUCCUCUCUUGUGAGGACGCAGAUGGAAUCAGGGCUUCCCGGCCCGGACCCUGACUUCUGGGCCGGCGGUCACUUUGAGGCCCGCGCCCUCUCCCCCCAGAGUGUGGCCCGGCGGAGAGCACAUCCACGCGGCUGUGGCGGACGUCCGUGCUGGGGGCUCUGGGGACGCUGGUCCUGGUGGUGCUGGCCGCCCUUCUCUGCAAAAGGUGGGCGCCACGCCGGCCCCUUCCCGGUGACCUCCGUGCCGGGCUGAGCCCCAUGGCUGCUGAGGGUGGGGGACCGGGCCUGUUGUGUCUCCUCGGGGCCCUGACGGUGCCUGGGAGGUGGGAGCAGGGCGACUCCCAUCGGCCCGGUAGAGGGAGAAGAGCCCCCCGCCCCCAGCGCAGUGGUGCACAGCUGUCAGCCCAGCACCCUGGGAGGCUGAGACAGGAGGAUCUCAGGUUCCAGCCCAACCUAGGCAACUCAGCAAGGCCUUGCCCCAAACUCAAAUAAGGAAACAGAGGGAAGGUGGACGGACAGGGUAUGGAUCUAGGGGCCAGGGGUCUGGCAGAAGCCAGCCAACCGUUCCCACAGCAGCGCUGCUCUGUCACGGCCCUGGGCCUCAAGACCCAGCCGCAGGGCUCGGCCGGCCCCCAUGAGGCCCUGUCCUCAGCGGGUCCCGCCCCCCCAGGUACUCGCUCCCCCUCAAAUAAGGAAACAGAGGGAAGGUGGACGGACAGGGUAUGGAUCUAGGGGCCAGGGGUCUGGCAGAAGCCAGCCAACCGUUCCCACAGCAGCGCUGCUCUGUCACGGCCCUGGGCCUCAAGACCCAGCCGCAGGGCUCGGCCGGCCCCCAUGAGGCCCUGUCCUCAGCGGGUCCCGCCCCCCCAGGUACUCGCUCCCCGCUCCCC
ensembl:lincRNA